UGUCAGGUCGCUAUGACCUUCAUGACACAUGUUUCAAAAUAACAUGGAAAUCCCAGUCAUAAUUCAGUAAUCACUUAAAAUAUCUACCAAUAACGACCUGUUCCAUUAUCAUAUAAAAACUGGAGGGUGCCAAGCACCUGUUAGUUUUGAACUGGACAGGAUGGGGAAAACAAGUUCGAACGAAAUGGUUACAAAACAGCCCGUGCCGAGAGCACGGAACACCCGACGCAGAUCCUCUAAGAAGGGUUCCUGGGCAAUUACGGUAAAAAACGUCUUGACCAUAGUCAAGACGAAGACUAAAAAAAAAUAUACAAGGAACAGUCGGCCAUGAAGGGGGUUCAACUGCAACAGAAGAUGGAAACCCCAAGGAAACCGGUCUGGAAACCCUAAGAAUUAUAAAUUCACAAUUUCAGAAAUGAACAGUUUUGAAUGAUAUAAUUAAUUUUAUGUGAAUUGAUUUUUAGUUAGCAAACAUUUUUUCUCGAAUUGUAUUUAAAAAAUGUGUAGAAUAAACAAAUGUAACUAGUCA